rnacentral:tRNA from 1 species
CAGGAAAUAGUUUACAGAUAAAAUUUUAAUUUUGGGUAUUAGAGAUGGAUACAUUUAUUCUUUCCUGA